rnacentral:rRNA from 1 species
GAUGAACGCUGACAGAAUGCUUAACACAUGCAAGUCUACUUGAAUUUGGGUUUUUAACUUAGAUUUGGGUGGCGGACGGGUGAGUAACGCGUAAAGAACUUGCCUCACAGCUAGGGACAACAUUUAGAAAUGAAUGCUAAUACCUAAUAUUAUGAUAAUAGGGCAUCCUAUAAUUAUGAAAGCUAUAUGCGCUGUGAGAGAGCGUUGCGUCCCAUUAGCUAGUUGGAGAGGUAACGGCUCACCAAGGCGAUGAUGGGUAGCCGGCCUGAGAGGGUGAUCGGCCACAAGGGGACUGAGACACGGCCCUUACUCCUACGGGAGGCAGCAGUGGGGAAUAUUGGACAAUGGACCGAGAGUCUGAUCCAGCAAUUCUGUGUGCACGAUGAAGUUUUUCGGAAUGUAAAGUGCUUUCAGUUGGGAAGAAAGAAAUGACGGUACCAACAGAAGAAGUGACGGCUAAAUACGUGCCAGCAGCCGCGGUAAUACGUAUGUCACGAGCGUUAUCCGGAUUUAUUGGGCGUAAAGCGCGUCUAGGUGGUUAUAUAAGUCUGAUGUGAAAAUGCAGGGCUCAACUCUGUAUUGCGUUGGAAACUGUAUAACUAGAGUACUGGAGAGGUAAGCGGAACUACAAGUGUAGAGGUGAAAUUCGUAGAUAUUUGUAGGAAUGCCGAUGGGGAAGCCAGCUUACUGGACAGAUACUGACGCUGAAGCGCGAAAGCGUGGGUAGCAAACAGG